CCUACGGGAGGCAGCAGUGGGGAAUAUUGCACAAUGGGCGGAAGCCUGAUGCAGCGACGCCGCGUGAGGGAUGACGGCCUUCGGGUUGUAAACCUCUUUCAGCAGGGAAGAAGCGCAAGUGACGGUACCUGCAGAAGAAGCACCGGCUAACUACGUGCCAGCAGCCGCGGUAAU
rnacentral:rRNA from 1 species